AUACUAAGUUGAACUAACGAAGUCAGAUUGCUAAGACAGCUAGGAUGUUGGCUUGGAAGCAGCCAUUCAUUUAAAGAGUGCGUAACAGCUCACUAGUCGAGGAGUUUGGCGUGGAUAAUAAUCGGGCAUCAAGUAUCUUACCGAAGCUAUGGGAUCAUUAAUGAUCGGUAGGGGAGCAUUCCACUCCGCGUCGAAGGUGAAGCGUGAGCUUUGCUGGAGCGUGUGGAAAAGCAAAUGUAGGUAUAAGUAACGAUAAAGGGGGUGAGAAACCCCCUCGCCGAAAGACUAAGGUUUCCUGAUCAACGCUAAUCGGAUCAGGGU
rnacentral:rRNA from 1 species